rnacentral:lncRNA from 10 species
UCACCAAAAUGCGGUGCAAUAAAAGCAAAUCCUUGAAGAGUGGAAACCUUGCAGCCAGGUUCAUGGAAGGGCUCAAGAAUAUUGCUGUGCUACGGUGCUUCUGCAGGCAGGUUCACCAUCUGUGUAACUGUGGCUACCACCUUCCAUCUUGAACUCAGACACAGACCUCUCCUCCGAGCUCCAGAUCCAUAUAUCCAAUCUCCUUCUCAAUAGUCACUUGC